rnacentral:rRNA from 1 species
CAGUCGCCGCGGUAAUACAGAGGGUGCGAGCGUUAAUCGGAUUUACUGGGCGUAAAGCGUGCGUAGGCGGCUUUUUAAGUCGGAUGUGAAAUCCCUGAGCUUAACUUAGGAAUUGCAUUCGAUACUGGGAAGCUAGAGUAUGGGAGAGGAUGGUAGAAUUCCAGGUGUAGCGGUGAAAUGCGUAGAGAUCUGGAGGAAUACCGAUGGCGAAGGCAGCCAUCUGGCCUAAUACUGACGCUGAGGUACGAAAGCAUGGGGAGCAAACAGGAUUAGAUACCCGCGUAGUUCCUGUCUCUUAUAA